UGAGGACCGGUUUCUGAUCAUCUUGGACUAUUUUUUUAGGAGUAGUUUAGGUUUGGUUUUGUUCCAGAUUUUGUACUGGUCUUUGACUUUUGUAGGACUGAUUUCAGACUGUUUCUAAAAUUGAUUUCAAUUUUGAGUUUGGACUGGUUCAGAUUUGAUGUUUAAAUUUUUAAAAAUUCUUAAUGAUGCUUAACAUUGAGUUAUUACAUCAAACCAACCCAUCAAAAUAAUGUGGGUGGAUGCUGAUUGGUGGAUUGUGAUUGGUGUAAAUUUCCUGAUGUGUUGGUGGAUGAUAAUUGAUGGAUGUUUAUGGAUUGUGAUUGGUGGACGUUUUAUCGAUGAUGAUCGGUGGAUGUUUGUGGAUUUUCAUUGGUGUAAACUUCCUUGAUGUGUUGGUGAAUAAUAAUUGAUGGAUAUUGGUGGAUUAUGAUUGGUGACUGUUGGUGGAUGAUGAUUGGUGAAUGUUGGUGGAUUGUGAUUGGUGACUGUUGGUGGAUGAUGAUUGGUGAAUGUUGGUGGAUUAUGAGUGGCGUAAACUUCCUGACAUGUUGGUGAAUGUUGGUGGUGGUGUUUCGGUUGAUGGCGCUGGCUGAGGUGGAUCCCUGCUUCGCUCCUUGGAGGUCAUCUUCAGGUCAAAGCGGUAUCGGGUCAGAAAGUAGUGUCUGCUCCUGCUGUGUCCUCAGCCAUGUGGAGAAUGUGGGUCAUCUUCAAAGGAGCUCCAGCAGCCUCCAUGCUACGCUGAACCUCAGCUCCACUCUGGAAACCAACGGGUGAAGUUUAAAAGCUCAGAAAAAGGACAGAAGCAUCUUUCACAUCAUGAUGCUGCCACCACCGUGCUUCACAUCAUGAUGCUGCCUCCACCGUGCUUCACGUCAUCAUGAAUCCACCGCCUUCUUCACAUUUUGAUGCUGUCGAUCAAAAAGUCUGUGGUUAUGGAGCCAAAAACAAGACAAUAUUUCACGCAGCCAGCACUGCCCCGGGGCAUCAGAGGAGCUUUCUUUGGUUUCCUCUCAGCAGGUGUCGCCUCCACUGGAGCUUCUUUCUGCUGCUGAUCUGACCUCUGACCUGAUGAGGCCAAAAUAUGUUCUUCCUUUAUCUCCAAGUAGGUCAGGAGUUCUCUGCAGCAUCAGGUUGAUCUACAGUUUGACCUGCAGCCUCCACAAGCAGCUCUUUAAUACUCUGCUGUCCUGACGUUUGGAUUGGAGAGGUUCUCUUUAGAAUUUUCUGUGUUCAAUAAACAGAGC